rnacentral:rRNA from 1 species
UACAGAGGUCUCAAGCGUUGUUCGGAAUCACUGGGCGUAAAGGGUGCGUAGGCUGUAAGGUAAGUCAGCGGUGAAAUGCCCCCGCUCAACGGGGUGAAGUGCCAUUGAUACUGCCUUGCUGGAAUGCGGAUGCCGUGGGAGGAAUGUGUGGUGUAGCGGUGAAAUGCAUAGAUAUCACACAGAACACCGAUUGCGAAGGCAUCUCACGAAUCCGCGAUUGACGCUGAUGCACGAAAGCGUGGGUAUCAAACAGG